GGCUAUUUAACUUUAAGGAAAGUAGAUGUUUUGAAAGCAUCCUAAAAGAGUUCGACUCUCUUAAUAGCCC
rnacentral:tRNA from 1 species